UGGAUACUACUGCUGUGAACAUUUGUGUACUCAUUUUUUUUUUUUUUGCGGUGCGCGGGCCUCUCACUGCUGUGGCCUCUCCCGCUGCAGGGCGCAGGCUCCGGACACGCAGGCUCAGCGGCCAUGACUCACGGGCCCAGCCGCUCUGUGGCAUGUGGGAUCUUCCCGGACCGGGGCACGAACCCGCGUCCCCUGCAUCGGCAGGCAGACUCUCAACCACUGCACCACCAGGGAAGCCCGGUUUACAGUGUUUUUAAGCAUUCCGUUUCUACGUGCAUUAUUAGAUCCUAUAACAUUAAUUUAGAUGACACCAAAUCAAUAAAAACUUAAAAACUGA